rnacentral:rRNA from 1 species
UACGGAGGAUCCAAGCGUUAUCCGGAUUUAUUGGGUUUAAAGGGUGCGUAGGUGGCCUGUUAAGUCAGGGGUGAAAGACGGUAGCUCAACUAUCGCAGUGCCCUUGAUACUGAUGGGCUUGAAUAAACUAGAGGUAGGCGGAAUGUGACAAGUAGCGGUGAAAUGCAUAGAUAUGUCACAGAACACCAAUUGCGAAGGCAGCUUACUAUGGUUUUAUUGACACUGAGGCACGAAAGCGUGGGGGAUCAAAACAGG